UAAGGAAUAUUGGUCAAUGGGGGCAACCCUGAACCAGCCAUGCCGCGUGCAGGAAGACAGCCCUACGGGUCGUAAACUGCUUUUACACGGGAAUAAACCCGGUCUCGUGAGACCGGCUGAACGUACCGUGGGAAUAAGGAUCGGCUAACUCCGUGCCAGCAGCCGCGGUAAUACGGAGGAUCCGAGCGUUAUCCGGAUUUAUUGGGUUUAAAGGGUGCGUAGGCGGCCCGUUAAGUCAGGGGUGAAAGACGGUAGCUCAACUAUCGCAGUGCCCUUGAUACUGGCGGGCUUGAAUGGACUAGAGGUAGGCGGAAUGAGACAAGUAGCGGUGAAAUGCAUAGAUAUGUCUCAGAACACCGAUUGCGAAGGCAGCUUACUAUGGUUCUAUUGACGCUGAGGCACGAAAGCGUGGGGAUCGAACA
rnacentral:rRNA from 1 species